UACGUAGGUGCGAGCGUUGUCCGGAAUUAUUUGGGCGUAAAGAGCUCGUAGGCGGUUUGUCGCGUCGACUGUGAAAACCUACAGCUUAACUGUGGGCUUGCAGUCGAUACGGGCAGACUUGAGUUCGGUAGGGAGACUGGAAUUCCUGGUGUAGCGGUGAAAUGCGUAGAUAUCUGGAGAACACCGGUGGCGAAGGUGGCAUCCUGGACCAAUUCUGACGCUGAGGAGCGAAAGCCAGGGGAGCAAACGGG
rnacentral:rRNA from 1 species